rnacentral:rRNA from 1 species
GACGAACGCUGGCGGCGUGCUUAACACAUGCAAGUCGAACGGAAAGGCCCUGCUUUUGUGGGGUGCUCGAGUGGCGAACGGGUGAGUAACACGUGAGUAACCUGCCCUUGACUUUGGGAUAACUUCAGGAAACUGGGGCUAAUACCGGAUAGGAGCUCCUGCUGCAUGGGGGGGGUUGGAAAGUUUCGGCGGUUGGGGAUGGACUCGCGGCUUAUCAGCUUGUUGGUGGGGUAGUGGCUUACCAAGGCUUUGACGGGUAGCCGGCCUGAGAGGGUGGCCGGCCACAAGGGGACUGAGGUACGGCCCAGACUCCUACGGGAGGCAGCAGGGGAGAAUAUUGCACAAUGGGGGGAAGCCUGAUGCAGCAACGCCGCGUGCGGGAUGACGGCCUUCGGGUUGUGAACCGCUUUCGCCUGAGACGAAGCGGGAGUGACGGUAAUGGGUAAAGAAGCACCGGCUAACUACGUG